rnacentral:rRNA from 1 species
UACGAAGGGGGCUAGCGUUGCUCGGAAUUACUGGGCGUAAAGCGCACGUAGGCGGCUUCUUAAGUCGGUGGUGAAAUCCUGGAGCUCAACUCCAGAACUGCCUUCGAUACUGGGAGCUCGAGUCCGGGAGAGGUGAGUGGAACUGCGAGUGUAGAGGUGAAAUUCGUAGAUAUUCGCAAGAACACCAGUGGCGAAGGCGGCUCACUGGCCCGGUACUCGACGCUGAGACGCGAAAGCGUGGGGAGCGAACGAGG